rnacentral:rRNA from 1 species
GAUGAACGCUAGCGGCAGGCCUAAUACAUGCAAGUCGAACGGUGUCUUCGGACAUAGUGGCGCACGGGUGCGUAACACGUAUGCAACCUACCUUACAUUGGGGGAUAGCCUUUCGAAAGGGAGAUUAAUACCGCAUAAGACAGCAGUCUGGCAUCAGACAGCUGUUAAAGAUUUAUCGAUGUAAGCUGGGCAUGCGUCCAAUUAGCUAGUUGGUGAGGUAACGGCUCACCAAGGCAAUGAUUGGUAGGGGAACUGAGAGGUCAAUCCCCCACACUGGCACUGAGAUACGGGCCAGACUCCUACGGGAGGCAGCAGUAGGGAAUAUUGGGCAAUGGACGCAAGUCUGACCCAGCCAUGCCGCGUGCAGGAUGGAGGCGUUAUGCGUUGUAAACUGCUUUUAUACAGGAAGAAACGACUCUUGCGAGAGGCAUUGACGGUACUGUAUGAAUAAGCACCGGCUAACUCCGUGCCAGCCGCCGCGGUAAAAC